rnacentral:misc_RNA from 1 species
CAGAGUCGUAAAACACUCCUAAACCCAUGUGAACUUACCUUUGUUGCCUCGGCAGGACCUACCCGGUAGCUACCCUGUAGUUACCCUGUAGCCUGCCGGUGGACUAUUAAACUCUUGUUAUUUUUUGAAAUCUGAGCGUCUUAUUUAAUAAGUCA